rnacentral:tRNA from 1 species
UAGCUCAGUUGGUUAGAGCGGUCGGCUCAUAACCGAUUGGUCGGGGGUUCGAGUCCCUC